rnacentral:rRNA from 1 species
CACGUAGGGCGCAAGCGUUGUCCGGAAUUAUUGGGCGUAAAGAGCUCGUAGGCGGUCUGUUACGUCUGCUGUGAAAACCCAGGGCUUAACCCUUGGCUUGCAGUGGAUACGGGCAGACUAGAGGUAGGUAGGGGAGAAUGGAAUUCCCGGUGUAGCAGUGAAAUGCGUAGAUAUCGGGAGGAACACCGGUGGCGAAGGCGGAUCUCUGGGCCGAUACUGACGCUGAGGAGCGAAAGCGUGGGGAGCGAACAGG